rnacentral:rRNA from 1 species
CCUACGGGGGGCAGCAGUGGGGAAUUUUCCGCAAUGGGCGAAAGCCUGACGGAGCAAGACCGCGUGGGGGAUGAAGGUUUGUGGAUUGUAAACCCCUUUUGUCAGGGAAGAAUAACUGACGGUACCUGACGAAUAAGCCUCGGCUAACUCCGUGCCAGCAGCCGCGGUAAUACGGAGGAGGCAAGCGUUAUCCGGAAUUAUUGGGCGUAAAGCGUCCGUAGGUGGUUAUUCAAGUCUGUUGUUAAAGAGUGGGGCUUAACCUCAUAAAGGCAAUGGAAACUGAAGGACUUGAGUGCGGUAGGGGUAGAGGGAAUUCCCAGUGUAGCGGUGAAAUGCGUAGAUAUUGGGAAGAACACCGGUGGCGAAAGCGCUCUACUGGACCUGCACUGACACUGAGAGAUGAAAGUUAGGGGAGCGAAAAGGAUUAGAUACCCCAGUAGUC